GACGAACCACCCAAACGUUAUUCGGAAUCACUGGGCUUAAAGAGUGCGUAGGCGGUCAUGCAAGUAGGGUGUGAAAUCCCACAGCUCAACUGUGGAACUGCGCUCUAAACUACAUGACUAGAGGGAUAUAGAGGUGAGCAGAACUGAUGGUGGAGCGGUGAAAUGCGUUGAUAUCAUCAGGAAUACCGGAGGCGAAGGCGGCUCACUGGGUAUCUUCUGACGCUGAGGUACGAAAGCUAGGGGAGCGAACGGG
rnacentral:rRNA from 1 species